rnacentral:rRNA from 1 species
GACGAACGCUGGCGGCGUGCUUAACACAUGCAAGUCGAACGGAAAGGCCCUGCUUGCAGGGUACUCGAGUGGCGAACGGGUGAGUAACACGUGGGUGAUCUGCCCUGCACUUCGGGAUAAGCCUGGGAAACUGGGUCUAAUACCGGAUAGGAGCCAUUUUUAGUGUGAUGGUUGGAAAGUUUUUUCGGUGUAGGAUGAGCUCGCGGCCUAUCAGCUUGUUGGUGGGGUAAUGGCCUACCAAGGCGGCGACGGGUAGCCGGCCUGAGAGGGUGGACGGCCACAUUGGGACUGAGAUACGGCCCAGACUCCUACGGGAGGCAGCAGUGGGGAAUAUUGCACAAUGGGCGCAAGCCUGUUGCAGCGACGCCGCGUGGGGGAUGACGGCCUUCGGGUUGUAAACUCCUUUCGCUAGGGACGAAGCUUUUUGUGACGGUACCUAGAUAAGAAGCACCGGCUAACUACGUG